UAGAUAAGUCGGAACUCGUUCUUUUCUCUCUCUCUCUCCAAACGCUCUUCUUCUGAAACCUAAAACAACUCUUGAAUCUGUUAUGAAUCAAGAGCAAAAUCAAAAAUCAAAAAAUGGUACUUCUAAAUCCUGAUACUGUAAAGAUAACCCAUAUAAAAGAAAUCUAGAUCUGUAAACCCUAACUUUGAAAUUUGUGAAACCAAAAAUUUUGUUCCUGAAAUCGGGUACCCAUAUAGCAGAAAUCUAAUAGUUGAUUGUGCUUCCGACAGUUUGCUUGUCAUCAGCGGAGAAACCAGCCAUGCACUUAAGUUGCUGCCAUUGAUUGAAAUCAGUAAUAAAUUGAAGAUGUUAUCGGUGUUUCAAGAUGUUCUGAUGUGGAGAGAGUUUAUGAACACGAUAGAGAAAGGUUCAAUUCAGCGCACUUUGGUGGAACUAUUGUCGUAGGUUUAAAAUUUGUUGGUUUUCUCUAUUUUGCACAUCUGCUUUGUUCUCCUUUCAAAGAAUCAUGUUCAAUCAUCCAGCUGUAACGAUCAUUAGGAGUUUAUGGAUUUUGUUAUACUUUGUUUAGUUAUUUACCACUUGUUCCGCAUACAAUUAAUUGCUUCAUGUCAUCUUCUAUACAUGUAUCUCAUAUAGUGUGUUGUUGAAUGGAUUGUCAGUACGUGGAUUAGCAUGGGCAAUCAAGAGAUGCUUGAUUAUUUUAGUGCAUAUAAUGCAGUGAGGGAUCGUCAUUCCCAUGGUCCGAAAGUGCACCAGGGGAUGCGUCUCCUCAUAUUUGUAGGCUAACCUGCAGGCUACGUAGAAGCCGAGAGACUUCACAAUAUGGUUACAUCGCAAACAAGGAGGAUAUGGAUAACUUCAACCAUCAUUCUCCAGGCUUCAACGUGCUUAACCAGGUAUGGAGAUUAGUAUUAAGAUUGGACCUAAUGUAAGUAUAAACUGAAAUUGUAGUUUUUGAUUAUGACAAUUAAAAAUUGUCAGCACGGAACUCAAAUUACUGAGUCAGCUACUUCAGUAAGGUAAGUAGAGCUGGUGCUGUCUUCCAUUUCAUGCUGGGGCUUGGGAGAUUUAUAUAAUGCAGAGUGGUGUCGAGAUGGAGCCUUCACGGAUUGGAAUUUCGUUUAUCGUCUUCAGCAGCAACGACAAUGGGUAGGAGUCAGAGAAGGGAAAUUGUCUAUACUGGUUGUAACCAAGUGAAGAAUACUCUCUGGUGGACAUAAAAUAAAAGUUGGCUGAUGUUGACAGAUUGGUUAGCAUGGGAAUUGGAAGGAUUAUAAAGUGCAGAUUGGUUUCUAUUUAAAUUGAACAUCAAUGGAAUUCGCUGAUGGUGUUCACUGCAAUAGCAAAUGAGGUGGCUCAAAUAGUGGCAGUUCGAGAUGGAAACUUGAGCUACAAAUUAGGGAAGAACUGGUGAUCAACUGCCUUGGUUUUGGGCUGUGUACGAGAAGGUUAAGCUGGGAUUUCAAAGACAAGAUGCUCAUAAAGUUCUGAACUCUGCAGGUGUGGUGAUGCUCUUGAUAGCUCGACUGGUGGGUCUGAAUCUUUCUCCCAGCAUUAGCAGCAUUGUGCAUGGAUGCUAUUGUCAGCAAGCACAUGCUGUUGGAAUUGUUCUUGGAGCUUGACAAUUUAGGCUAAGAACGAGCAAUGCAGUUGACAGUUGAGGCUUAACUGCAACAGACUAAUAGGCGAUUCUCCAUGUGAAGAACGUAUCUGAAUGGAGAUCAAGGUAAAUGUCAGUCGUCUUUAUUGUAAUUAUUAGUAUUAUUAUUGUGAUUUUGUAGUUGUUUUCCUAAGGAAAAUGGUCUUGAUGUAAAAAUAUAAAUAAUGUAUAUGUAAUUGGAAAGACAUGAUGUUGCAAGAGUUAACUAUAUGGUUGGUUACAUCAGGUGCAUGGUGUUGUAAUAUCGAUAUUCUGGGAAUACAAAUUUAGUAUUUAAC